rnacentral:rRNA from 1 species
AGAUUAAGUUAUUAAGGGCGCACGGUGGAUGCCUUGGCACUAGAAGCCGAUGAAGGACGUUACUAACGACGAUAUGCUUUGGGGAGCUGUAAGUAAGCUUUGAUCCAGAGAUUUCCGAAUGGGGAAACCCAGCAUGAGUUAUGUCAUGUUAUCGAUAUGUGAAUACAUAGCAUAUCUGAAGGUAGACGCGGAGAACUGAAACAUCUUAGUACCCGCAGGAAGAGAAAGAAAAAUCGAUUCCCUGAGUAGCGGCGAGCGAAACGGGAAGAGCCCAAACCAACGAGCUUGCUUGUUGGGGUUGUAGGACACUCUAUACGGAGUUACAAAAGAACAAACUAGACGAAUCAUCUGGAAAGAUGAAUCAAAGAAGGUAAUAAUCCUGUAGUCGAAAGUUUAUUCACUCUUGAGUGGAUCCUGAGUACGACGGAACACGAGAAAUUCCGUCGGAAUCCGGGAGGACCAUCUCCCAAGGCUAAAUACUCUCUAGUGACCGAUAGUGAACCAGUACCGUGAGGGAAAGGUGAAAAGUACCCCGGAAGGGGAGUGAAAUAGAACUUGAAACCGUGUGCUUACAAGUAGUCAGAGCCCGUUAAUGGGUGAUGGCGUGCCUUUUGUAGAAUGAACCGGCGAGUUACGAUUUGAUGCAAGGUUAAGCAGCAAAUGUGGAGCCGUAGCGAAAGCGAGUCUGAAUAGGGCGUUGAGUAUUUGGUCGUAGACCCGAAACCAGGUGAUCUACCCUUGGUCAGGUUGAAGUUCAGGUAACACUGAAUGGAGGACCGAACCGACUUACGUUGAAAAGUGAGCGGAUGAACUGAGGGUAGCGGAGAAAUUCCAAUCGAACUUGGAGAUAGCUGGUUCUCUCCGAAAUAGCUUUAGGGCUAGCCUCAAGUGAUGAUUAUUGGAGGUAGAGCACUGUUUGGACGAGGGGCCCCUCUCGGGUUACCGAAUUCAGACAAACUCCGAAUGCCAAUUAAUUUAACUUGGGAGUCAGAACAUGGGUGAUAAGGUCCGUGUUCGAAAGGGAAACAGCCCAGACCACCAGCUAAGGUCCCAAAAUAUAUGUUAAGUGGAAAAGGAUGUGGCGUUGCCCAGACAACUAGGAUGUUGGCUUAGAAGCAGCCAUCAUUUAAAGAGUGCGUAAUAGCUCACUAGUCGAGUGACACUGCGCCGAAAAUGUACCGGGGCUAAACAUAUUACCGAAGCUGUGGAUUGUCCUCUGGACAAUGGUAGGAGAGCGUUCUAAGGGCGUCGAAGCAUGAUCGCUAGGACAUGUGGAGCGCUUAGUAGGGAGAA